rnacentral:rRNA from 1 species
AUUGAACGCUGGCGGCAGGCCUAACACAUGCAAGUCGAACGAGUGGCGGACGGGUGAGUAAUGUCUGGGAAACGGCCCGAGGGAGGGGGAUAACUACUGGAAACGGUGGCUAAUAACGCAUACCAUCGGAUGUGCCCAGAUUGGAUUAGCUAGUCGGUGGGGUAACGCCUCACCUAGGCGACGAUCCCUAGCUGGGCUGAGAGGAUGACCAGCCACCCUGAAACUGAGACACGGUCCAGACUCCUCCGGGAGGCAGCAGUGGGGAAUAUUGCACAAUGGGCGCAAGCCUGAUGCAGCCAUGCCGCGUGUAUGAAGAAGGCCUUCGGGUUUUAAAGUACUUUCAGCGAGGAGGCGUUACUCGCAGAAGAAGCACCGGCUAACUCCGUGCCAGCAGCCGCGGUAAUUC